AGAAAAUUAAAGGAUCCCAAAUAGUUUCAUUUUGUUAAUAUUUCUUUCAGUGGAUACAGUGAAGGUCGAUCAUGCAUUACUUACGACGCCAUCAAUCAAGCCUAUUUAGAAGCAAGGAAAAGAUUUUCGGUUGCGAAUCCAAUUGGCGAGUGGAAGCCGGAACAUGUGAAAACCGUCGGAGAAGUUCUUCUGGACAUUUCUAUUAAUCUUGCGAGGACGUACGGUUUAAGUUAUGAAGAUAUCGAAAAGGGUUUACCCUUAAUCGAUACAUCACGAACACUGAUAAGUGAAAUUUGUCCUCCUUACCUCGCUAAUGUUGAAUGUCGGGCUGGAAAAUACAGGAGAUUUGAUGGACUUUGCACCAACUUGGAGCAUCCGACGUGGGGCGCUACAAAUACUCCAUU